CAACGAGAAAACUUUUGUAGGCGCGAACUAGUUUCUUUUCAGGUUUUAAAUCUAAAUACUACACAAGUUAUGCCAUGCCAAUCUUCUAUAUAUUUAUGAUUAUAUUAAAAACAAUGUAUCUUCAUGGCACUUUAAAGUGAAACUGCUGACUACGAUUGUUCAGUGGCCAAGUGCUUUCCAAGCUGCAAAGCCGAAUCAAACAAGGAGCUGCAUUGCCCGGUUUGAUAUACACCAUUUGAUAUGGAAUACAAGAUGAAAGUUACACACAAGUGAAUCGAUUCAAGAAAUCAAAGAAUCAUACACUAGAUUAACUGGAAAAACUUGUUGCGAAAAAUAAAGUAUUAUAAAUGAUAUCUGAAUUUAAUUUUUGAUAAUAAAAUACAUUUUUAGUUACCUUA